rnacentral:sRNA from 1 species
UUAGAAUUAACCUGUUACCUUUAGGAUUUAAAAACCCUUAUUUAUAGGCGGCGUUCCUAUUGCGUUUACGUAACGCGAAUUUAUAAGUUUAGCAAAACCCAGUCCCUAGAACUGUACGUUAGUAUUUAAAUAUUAAUAAAUUUGCACGUAACAAUUAUUUUCUUUUAAUAAAGGCGUUUUCGUUUUAAAUAACAACUUCAGGUAUAGGGCGGGGUAAUUUUUAGCAAACGUAAAUAAAACGCAAUUGUUUCGCGUAGGUUUCCAUUGGUAAACGGCGGUAUUAAUUACAAAUAAUGGGUUAGAACGUUAAUAAUUAGUAAAUUUCAUUUAAUUUAAAUAUUAAUUAUUUCCUUAAUAUUUAACGAAAUUUUUUUUAAUUAAAUUUUUUUUUCCUUUAUUUUUCUAUUUUAAUACGAAAUUUCGUUAAUUUUUUACACGCGUUAUUUUUAUAUUUUGGUCGCGUUUUCUUUUUGCAUUAAAUCGAUUUUGGUUAUUUUUAUUAUACUUUUUGCGCCUGGUUUUGUGGCAAAUUUUACCUAAAAAACGUUCGCGUUUCCCCGGCUAUUAUUUCUAUUAACGUUAAUAUUAAUAUAACCCAUAACCGGAUUAUUUAUAUGAAAUAUUUUCGUCGCGGUGUUAAAAUCACCAAAAAUACCGAAAAUUUCCCCGAUUUAAAUAUAUUUAGGGAACCCUUUUUUAAAACGGUAAAAUAAACAAAUUUUAUUUUUACUGUAAAAAAAAUAUACGUAUUUGCAAAUUAUUAAAUUGCGUUAUUUUUGCGGCUUUUAUUCUUUGCCCUUUUAUAAUACGUUUAAUUAAUAUAUAUUAAACCAUUGCGAUUAUAAAAAGAAAUUUCGUCGAUUUUUUUAUUUAUUCGAUAUUAUAAAUUUCGCUUUUUAAUUUAACGUUAAAGAUAACCUGUUUACCGAAAUUAAAAAGCUGUUUGGGGUCUUGGCUAAUUUUAUAUUGUCCGCCGAAUAUUUGGAAAUUAAAAAACGCAAGCGUUUGGGCCAAAUUAAUCCCUUCAAAAAUAUAAGCAACUAUUUUUAUAUUUUAAACGAAAUAAAAUUACCAGGAAUUAUUAUUUUGGAACUAUAAUAAUUGCGUUUUUUAAUUUGAUAAACCCCAACGUUCCUAUUUUGGGAAUUUUUUAAUUAACCCCUUGCGUUUUCCAAACGGUUUAAUAGCGUAUUACGUUUUAUAUAUUGGCGGUUUUUCGAUUUACGUUUUUUUUUCCCUAUUACCGCGUUUUGUAAAUAAUAAAUAUCAAAUUCGAAACAAUAUAAUUAAAUUGGAAAUAAUAAAAAAUGGCGUAAAUGGAAACCCAUCGUCCUUUUCGCGAUUUUAUACCCGUUAAUAAUGAUAAUAAUCCUGGUUUUAAUAAUGGUUAUAUUCCAAAUUUUACCCCUGGUCUUUUUUAAAAUUUUGUAAUUUCCCCUGCGUCUUUUUAAAUUUAAAUUCGUAUUAACUUUUUUAUUUUUAAACGGUUUUAAAAUUUUGGUAAUUUUUCUUUAUUUGCUUUUUUAAUUACGGGUAUUUUCCCUUAUUUUUCGGCCUGUUAAAAUUAUAUUAAAUUGGGAAUACGCGCACUAAAAAUUUAAAAAAACUCAGGGUUACCGUUUUGGAAAAAUUUAUCCGUUAAUUUUACGCCAAAACCGUCGUUAACCAAACGGUUCGUUAUAAUAUUAAAAAAUUGCAAUUUAUUUGUUUUUAUAGGAACCCCGUUAUUUUUUCGUUUUAUUUUGCAAUAUAAUGGCGGUUUUCUUACCAAUUAAAUAAUUUUUCGUUUGUCGCGUUAAUUUUCAAUUCAUUAUAUUGCACGAAAUUAAUUUUCGACUGGUAUAUUUUCCAAAAAAACGGUUUGGUAUUUUUUAAAAUUGUUUAAGAAAUGUUAAAAUUAAAUUAGGAUUUGGUAUAGGGUUUUUUUAUAUUUAACGUUAUUAAUACAAAUUAAAUUCGGAGGGAUUUUGGCUUUUUUUAAGUUUUGUACGUUUAAAUUUUAAAUUUUUAUUUUAUAAUAAUAAGUUUCCUUUUAAUUUAAUUUUUUUGGAUUAUUUUUGAGAAAAUUAUUUUGUUUUGCUUUUUGCAAAUAUAUUUUCCCCAAAUGCCUAUUAAUUGUAGUUGGUUAACCAAUUAAACCAUUUAACCAAAUAAUAAAUAAUCCCAUUUUUGGUAUAUAUAUUUUUAAUUCUUUUUACGUUCUAAUUUUUUUUUUAAAAAUUUGGGCAAAAUAUAAUUUUGUAAUUGUUUGGGUUCCUGGGUUUCUAUAAUUUAAAAAAUUAUAUUGGGAAAAUAUCGUGUAAUUAGUUAUAUUACAUUAGUAAAAUUAAACGAUAUUCCUAUUUUUUCUAUAUUAUAUAAAAUUUAAAAAAUUCGAUUAUAUUUGGGUUUAAAUUUGGCGUUUUUGUUUAAUUAAUAUUGCGAAUAAAUAAUUAUAUCCAAUUAUUUCGCUUAAAUCCCCUAAAUUUAUAUUUUUGGUUAUAAUACUUUUUAUAUUGUUUAUUAUUUAAAACCAUUUUUUUCGCAAAUUUUUCCUUAAUUUGGUAAAUCUUUUCAAUUUGUUUAAUAUUGCUGGUAUAAUUUUAAUCCCCCCUAUUAAUAAUACGUUUUCGGGUUUUAAAUGGAAAUUUCUAUUUUUUCCCAUAAACGCUAUUAUAAACGAUAUAUUUACUAUUUUUUGGGGUGCGUUAUUAUAAGCGUAUUUAAUUAUGGGCAAAAAUUGGGCCCAAAUAUUUUAUAAUUCUUUUGCGUAAUAUUUAAAAUAUUAUUCGAUAAUUUCAUUAAAUUUUUCGGUUUGCCCGUUUAUUUGCGGGUAAAAUAUUAUAAAUAUGCGCUUUUUAAUAUUUAAUUUGUAAUAUAAUUUUUUCCAAAAUUUGUUCGUAAAUAAUUUAUUUUUGUCGGUAAUAAUACCCAAUGGAAGUCCAUAACGGCAUUGAAUUCUUUUGGUAAAAAAUCAAGCAAAUUCGGAAAUAUCCAUAUUGUUUUUAAUAGGCAAAAGCCGCGUUAUUUUAAUUAGUUUAUUUAUUAUAAUUAAAAUAACGUCUAACGUGGUAAAAAAAUAUUUUAUACCGGGCAACCCGUUAAUAAAAUAAAAAGAUAUUUUGGUCCAGAUUUUAUUAGGUAAAAAUAACGGUUCCAAUAUACCGUAUUGGCGGUAUUUAAUCGGUUUUACCAUUAUAUAAAUAUUACAUAAUUCCGAAUACCAAUUAAUAUUAUUUUUUAUUUGUUUUUAAUAAUAUUUUUUUUAAAUUAAUUUUAAAAUUUUGGCAAUUCCCCAAUAUCCAGUAUAUAGCCCAUUUUAAUAAAAAUCCGAAAAUUCCUUUAUUACAUUGCCGUUUAUUAGCACGUAAAAUUUCGAUUUAUAAUAAAAAAUGUUAUUUGGCGUUAUAAUUUAAUUAUAUUUUAUUCUUUUGCAAAAUUGCUGUAAUUUUUUGUCAUUUUAUAGAAGAUCUUUAAUGAAAUAUUUAAUAGGUUUUGAAAAUAUAUAAUAAAGGUUUUUUACUUUUAUUAUAUCCUUUGUUUUUCCACGGGUAAUUAUAUAUAUUUAUAUAUAUAAUCGACCCAAAAAAGGUAAAAUAAUUUGUUUAGUUUGCGAAGUUUCUGCGGAUAAAUAAAAAUUACGAAAUUUCUUUUUAUUUUAACCCCGUAUAAACAAUCUUUUUAUAUUAGAGGUAAAAAACUAUUUAUAAUUAUAAAUAUUUUGUAAUUAGGCCGUUUCGACGGCCCGUUAACAGAAUUUUGCUUUUUUGCACGGUAAACAAUUUCAAAAUUAAAAAAAAACAAAUAUAUUAUCCAACGCGUUUAUUUCCCAUUAAAUUUUGGUAUUUUUAUAAAAUUUUGCAAAUUUUAAUAAUUUGUAAUUAUAAUUAUUUUCGAUAUAUUAUUUUUA